CUUAUUAAAACAUAUAGGCCUAUGGGCUAGGCUACAUGAGGUGUGAUACUAACAUUAUUAAAACAUAUAGGCCUAUGGGCUAGGCUACAUGAGGUGUGAUACUAACAUUAUUAAAACAUAUAGGCCUAUGGGCUAGGCUACAUGAGG